rnacentral:rRNA from 1 species
UCGAGCGGCAGCGCGGGGGCAACCCUGGCGGCGAGCGGCGAACGGGUGAGUAAUACAUCGGAACGUGCCCAGUAGCGGGGGAUAACCAGUCGAAAGAUUGGCUAAUACCGCAUACGAUCUACGGAUGAAAGCGGGGGACCGCAAGGCCUCGCACUAUUGGAGCGGCCGAUGUCGGAUUAGCUAGUUGGCGGGGUAAGAGCCCACCAAGGCGACGAUCCGUAGCUGGUCUGAGAGGAUGAUCAGCCACACUGGAACUGAGACACGGUCCAGACUCCUACGGGAGGCAGCAGUGGGGAAUUUUGGACAAUGGGCGCAAGCCUGAUCCAGCCAUGCCGCGUGAGUGAGGAAGGCCUUCGGGUUGUAAAGCUCUUUCGGCGGGGACGAAACGGUCCGGGCUAACACCACGGACUAAUGACGGUACUCGCAGAAGAAGCACCGGCUAACUACGUGCCAGCAGCCGCGGUAAUACGUAGGGUGCAGGCGUUAAUCGGAAUUACUGGGCGUAAAGCGUGCGCAGGCGGCUCCUUAAGUCAGAUGUGAAAGCCCCGGGCUUAACCCGGGAACUGCGUUUGAAACUGGGGAGCUAGAGUGUGGAAGAGGGGGGUGGAAUUCCAGGUGUAGCAGUGAAAUGCGUAGAGAUCUGGAGGAACACCGAUG